AUUGAACGCUGGCGGCAGGCCUAACACAUGCAAGUCGAACGGUAACAGGAAACAGCUUGCUGUUUCGCUGACGAGUGGCGGACGGGUGAGUAAUGUCUGGGAAACUGCCUGAUGGAGGGGGAUAACUACUGGAAACGGUAGCUAAUACCGCAUAACGUCGCAAGACCAAAGAGGGGGACCUUCGGGCCUCUUGCCAUCGGAUGUGCCCAGAUGGGAUUAGCUUGUUGGUGGGGUAACGGCUCACCAAGGCGACGAUCCCUAGCUGGUCUGAGAGGAUGACCAGCCACACUGGAACUGGGACACGGUCCAGACUCCUACGGGAGGCAGCAGUGGGGAAUAUUGCACAAUGGGCGCAAGCCUGAUGCAGCCAUGCCGCGUGUAUGAAGAAGGCCUUCGGGUUGUAAAGUACUUUCAGCGGGGAGGAAGGGAGUAAAGUUAAUACCUUUACUCAUUGACGUUACCCGCAGAAGAGGCACCGGCUAACUCCGUGCCAGCCGCCGCGGUAA
rnacentral:rRNA from 1 species